rnacentral:tRNA from 1 species
CGCUAGAAAGCUAAACUGGGUCAGCGUUAGCCUUUUAAGCUGAAGAUUGGUGGCUCCCAACCACCUCUAGCGA